ensembl:lncRNA
UAGGAUAGUAAUGUGUCUUAAGUUUUUUUCAUUUAUUUAUUUUUUGCUGCUGAGGGUCUUGAGACUUCUUUUGGCAUCCUUUUUGAUUAUACAGAGUACAAAAAAAGCUUUUAAAAAAAUAAAAGGCCAUUUAUUUUUUCCAAUAGAAAUUUCAUUAUGGAGGUGAUAUUAAUCAUAGUAGAAGAUACUAACUAAAAAAUAGAACAAAAAGAAAUGAAAAUAUAUUAUGUCCAGGUUAGAUCUCUGAGAAAAGACAACUCAAAAUCUCCCAGUACUAUACAGUAAAUUACUAAGUAAUAAUGUUCUGUCAUGUGAAUAUCCAGUCCUAUUGUACUUCAUAUGAUUUGUGAGUUGGUGGCGUGUGAAACUAUCAUUGAAAGCAAGAUCAGUGAGUAAUUUAGAUUAAACGUGCUGAAUUUACAGAAUUUACACCACUUAGAUACUAAAAAUUGUCAGGCAUUCUGUCUCACUAAAAGUUGCUGGGGAAAGAGGCAAAUUCUUCCUAGAACAGCAAUUCUCAAGCUACGGUCUAGGAACAAGCACUUCUCUGAACAUUUGGCUUGGUAGGAUAGAAUGAACAUACUACAGAGGGAAAUUUCCCAAGAGGAUAUUGCAAGAACAUUGAUAUAUUAGGUUAUUUCUCUUUCUCAGGGAGUCUUCAGAGCAGAAUAUUCAGAGAACAAAUGACCAUAAAAAUUGUAUUCCAAGAUCCUAGUAGAUCCCAAGCAUGGGCCAUAUGUUCCUAUCAAAGAUGCUCCCAAACCCACCUGACCAAUCAUGUUGUCUGUGGGGAAAAAAAAGAACUAUAGGGUAAAAAAAAAAAAGGAAAACUGUCAAUAUGGUAUAUAACUUACAUUUUUCAAUUUCACAUUUACUUCUAUGACCACAUUAGGACAGCCUCACUAUCUAUAGUUUUCUGAACCACUGAAAAGAAAUAAGUAGAGAAGCAAACAAGGUUACACAGAGUGACUACAAAAGAGGCACUGAAGGUUACUGCAAAAUUUCAGCAGAGUAAAAUAUCACUGAGUAAUUGUUUCCCAUUCUCUAUUCCUCCUUGGGCUCUACUUGGUGCAAGUUUUACCUAGUCCAUAAACCUCGGCAAUAUACCAUUAAUCUUAAAUCAUUGAAUAUUGUUUUAAAACAUCAUACAUACUCCUUUAGACAUCAAGCAACAUGACAAGUUAGGAGAUGGCUGGUCCUAGAAACAAAAGUUUGGCUAACUUUUAUUUUCUCACAUAAGAUAUAUGAGCUCUGGGUUGCCACACUGAAGCCAGCUAUGCCAAUGACCAAACUCCAGAAAAGAAGUUACCCUAUUUUUAAUCACAGCUUUCCAAAGACUAGUACAAUAGCUGCAUGACUUCCUUGAUAAAUCGAGAGAGGCUCAUAUUAAAUUUGAGGUGUCACAUCCCUAGAGGAACAACAGCAAAAACAGUGAGGUCAGCACUAGCUCUAUUACCAAGUGGGGGGUUGCAUCAAACAUACCCAGGGUAUUCUGACUUUUGCUACUGCUUAACCCUGUAAUGGAUAUGUUCUUUUGGGACUUGACAUCUAUUGCCACCCUCUUACAUCUCUAUCACAAGAGCAGCAAAGCUCCUUACCCUCCUUUAUCCAGGGGUUGCAAAGCUUAAAACUAUACUUCCCCAAAUACCAGUCAACUGGAAUGUCUUAUAUGCAAAGAGGAUUUUCCAAUGAGAUGCCUUCUUGAGAGAAUCUGAAAGCAAGAAGGGAGAGGGAGGCCAUCUUUUCAUUGUGUUGGUACUAGCCAGAAAAGUUGUGGGUCAUGUUUGCAGUGCUUCAUUGUAUUUCCAGUUCAGUUUUGUGGGUGUUAUAACAUAGUGGUUGUAGCAGUUUCAUGACCUCUGUAUCUCAGUUCUAGAUAUCAGGAGCCCCUCUGACUUCCACAGCCCCAGCCAUUCCAGCAAGUAUUAUAAUCACCUGCCUAUCUCUACUCCCUUGAUUCCUACUGAAAAUACCUAGAGUGGUUACUACUUCCUGCAUGGAACCCUGAUUGACAGAUGCCUUCUUCAGCAAGAAGUGCUGCAAAUCAGUGCUACCACUCAACAAGCAGGUAAUUUAA